rnacentral:misc_RNA from 1 species
CCAGCUUAUGGAGUAAACUACAACGCAGCAUAUCCUAGUGCUAGUGCAUCAUACUAUGCUCCUUCCACGCAUGCUCAUCUGUAUUCUCACCCUGAGAGAUACCAGCCACCGCCUCCACCUUCUGAACCGAUCAAUAGGAUGAUUUAUGAUGAUCAUGAUUAUGAUAACAAUGGUGGAUGUUCAAUUGUGUGAGAAAAUUUUGUGAUUGAGGGUAUACGUACGUAAAUCUAUAUAUGAUCGGGCAAUAGUACGUAUUGUGUGGGGAAGGAGGCUAGGGGAGUAUAAUAUAAAUUUGUAAUUACAAGUUUUGUCCCUGUUUAGCUUUAUUUUAUUUAGCUUUAUUAAUUUGCUGCUAUGUAUAUAUAGCUUUGUAAUUUGUAAUGUUAUUGUUGGAUUUCUUGGAAAAAUCUGCCUUUCAUAU